rnacentral:lncRNA from 1 species
UCCAACCCAGAAAAUCCACUGUUACAAAAAAUACAUCGUUACAUCAGUUGCAGGUAAAGUGUUCGAUGAAAUGCUCAGCUGAGUUUUUUCUUUUUUUUCUUUUUUUGUUCUUACCUGAUCAUCCCAUGCCUUAUCUUUUCCAUAUAUCACCGCAGCUCCGAAACUCCUCGCCGGAUUGAUUCCAGUUCCGGUGAUCGGGAUUGUGGCCAAGUGAACCAUGAACACAGCAAACCCAAUCGGAAGCGGUGCCAAAACCUGCCAAAAAAAAAAACCCCAAAUUAAUUUCAAGAAAGAAAGAUGAAAAAAGAUCCCUCUUUUUUGUGUGUGUUUUAUUGUUCUUACAGGAACAUGGGAGUCUCUAGCACUUCUCUUGGGAUCAGUAGCAGAGAACACGGUGUAAACAAGAACGAAAGUUCCGAUAAUCUCCGCCGCGAGUCCAGUGCCUUUACUAUACCCCAACGCCAGCUCGUUCGCCCCACCGCCAUGCUCGACAUAGUAACUCUUCUGAAAAGCCUUAACCAAUCCACACCCGCAGAUAGCCCCCAAGCACUGUGCUAUAAUGUACAGCACAGCUCUCACGAGAGACACCUUUCUGGCCAAGAACAGCCCGAAUGUGACAGCUGGAUUGAUGUGCCCGCCGGAGAUUCCGGCUGUGCAGUAAACGAGGACAAAGAUCAUGCCGCCAAAGGCCCACGCUAUGCCUAGAAUGCCUACGCCGCCACAGCCGUCGGCGGCACUCUGGCUCUUGUAGCCGAUCACGGUUAGGACCGUGAUGUAGAGGAACAAAAGGGUGGCGGUGAACUCGGCGAUUACGGCUCUGUAUAGAGACCAUUUGGUUAGCUCUUCGGAGUCGAUGAGUGGUGCUGGCGGUGGGUCGUGGUAGUCUUUCGCCCCGUAUUCAUGAGCGGCGGCUCCUCCCUCGAUAUCCUUCGCCAUAUUCGGCACGUUUUUUUUUCUUGUUAUUACUCUGUGUUCUUGAGUGUGUGUGUU